UCCUUGGUGGCUCAGACGGUAAAGAAUCUGCUUGCAAUGCAGGAGACCUGGGUUCGAUUCCUGGGCUGGGAA
rnacentral:tRNA from 1 species